UGAGGAAUAUUGGACAAUGGGUGAGAGCCUGAUCCAGCCAUCCCGCGUGAAGGACGACGGCCCUAUGGGUUGUAAACUUCUUUUGUAUAGGGAUAAACCUACUCUCGUGAGAGUAGCUGAAGGUACUAUACGAAUAAGCACCGGCUAACUCCGUGCCAGCAGCCGCGGUAAUACGGAGGGUGCAAGCGUUAUCCGGAUUUAUUGGGUUUAAAGGGUCCGUAGGCGGAUCUGUAAGUCAGUGGUGAAAUCUCAUAGCUUAACUAUGAAACUGCCAUUGAUACUGCAGGUCUUGAGUAAAUUUGAAGUGGCUGGAAUAAGUAGUGUAGCGGUGAAAUGCAUAGAUAUUACUUAGAACACCAAAUUUG
rnacentral:rRNA from 1 species